AACAGGAUUAGAUACCCUGGUAGUCCACGCCGUAAACGAUGUCGACUUGGAGGUUGUGCCCUUGAGGCGUGGCUUCCGGAGCUAACGCGUUAAGUCGACCGCCUGGGGAGUACGGCCGCAAGGUUAAAACUCAAAUGAAUUGACGGGGGCCCGCACAAGCGGUGGAGCAUGUGGUUUAAUUCGAUGCAACGCGAAGAACCUUACCUACUCUUGACAUCCAGAGAACUUAGCAGAGAUGCUUUGGUGCCUUCGGGAACUCUGAGACAGGUGCUGCAUGGCUGUCGUCAGCUCGUGUUGUGAAAUGUUGGGUUAAGUCCCGCAACGAGCGCAACCCUUAUCCUUUGUUGCCAGCGGUUCGGCCGGGAACUCAAAGGGGACUGCCAGUGAUAAACCGGAGGAAGGUGGGGAUGACGUCAAGUCAUCAUGGCCCUUACGAGUAGGGCUACACACGUGCUACAAUGGCGCAUACAAAGAGAAGCGACCUCGCGAGAGCAAGCGGACCUCAUAAAGUGCGUCGUAGUCCGGAUCGGAGUCUGCAACUCGACUCCGUGAAGUCGGAAUCGCUAGUAAUCGUAGAUCAGAAUGCUACGGUGAAUACGUUCCCGGGCCUUGUACACACCGCCCGUCACACCAUGGGAGUGGGUUGCAAAAGAAGUAGGUAGCUUAACCUUCGGGAGGGCGCUUACCACUUUGUGAUUCAUGACUGGGGUGAAGUCGUAACAAGGUAACC
rnacentral:rRNA from 1 species